UCUCCUCUCACCUCUCCGCCUCCUCCUCCUCCUCCUCCAUCUUUCUCCGCAGCCGAACUCUCUUGUGGUGAUUCCUUAGAUUUCAUGAUGGCAUAGACGAUAGCAAGAUCGUGGACAUGCUUUCCACAGGCUUUCUUGAACUGUGAACUCUCCGUGGUCCUUUUUCGCUUCCUUGAUCCUUUCUUCCCGAGGAAGAACUCCAAGGAAGAAGAAGAGGAGGAGGAGGAGGGGAUGGUGACCGCCGUUGAUAGUUCAAGAAAGCCCGUGGAAACCGUGACAGAUCUUUCCGAGUCUUGGACGUAGGUUUUGUAUGAUUUCUUCCGCUCGCUGAAUUAGUGUGUUCUGUGUUGAUUGGGUGGGAAUCGUACUGGAACAACUGAUUACAUGUUUCACAUAUCCCAAUUGUGCGAUUGCCUGUUAUGAAUCGAUUGAAUUCUGAUUUAAGUAGUUGUUUUCCUCAUCUGGAAGAUGCUUUCUUUUGAGAUCUUGCCUUCUUUGAUAAGCAACUGGUCUUGUUUUUGUUGCAGAAUUGGAGAAUACGGAGCAAAAAGCCCCAGAAGCAUUGUAGGAUUCAGCAAGGCUGAGAUGAUGUGUGCACUAAAAGGUUGCCAGAAGUCAAACCAAGCUUCAUGCUGCUCCACUCCAACUAUUGACAUGUUCCAUGAAACAAGAAAUUAAAUCCAGGCAAUGGCAGUAUCUUUGAUGGCUUUGAAGAAGAAUAGCCAGAACACAAGGCAGAUGGAUCAAUUUAUUGUGGACUCAAUGCUUAUGGUGCAAAAUGCUAGUUUUUAUUUUGAGACAAAGGACCAGCGACCAUUCCAGCUCAGAGAUGAAAAGGCAGGACAGUAAGGAGUGCCAUCUCAGUUGUGGGAGGACUUGGUGGGGAUACUGUGGCACCAAGAGACAAGAUACAGCAAGAUGGCACAAUUUCAUAGCUGAAAACCUCAACAUACAUAUACCUACAUUAUCUGUUCGUCUUUCGUGACACAUACUUGGCUUCUAACUCGAACAAAGAUCCAUUGCUCACUAACAGCAGGUUUACAUUUUUGGCUCCAGGAGGAGGAAGAAGAGAGAUUAAUUAUUUUGGAUGGAUUGUGGAUUCGAUUCGAGAAUCCCAUGUAUAGCGGAAUCUCGUGAACGCGGAUUGUAAUUAAAUCCAGGGGAUGGCAGUGUCUUUGAUGGCUUUGAAGAAGAAUAGACAGAACACAAGGCAGAUGGAUCAAUUUAUUGUGGACUCAAUGCUUAUGGUGCAAAGUGCAAGUUUUUUGUUUUUGUGAGACAGAGGACCAGCGACCAUUCCAGCUCAGAGAUGAAAAUGCAGGACAGUAAGGAGUGCCAUCUCAAUCGUGGGAGGACAUGGUGGGGAUACUGUGGCACCAAGAGACAAGAUACAGCAAGAUGGCACAUUUCCAUAGCUGAAAACCUCAACAUACAUGUACAUGCAUUAUCUGUUCGUCUUUCCUGACUCAUACUUAGCUUCUAACUCGAACAAAGAUCCAUUGCUCACUAACAGCAGGUUUACAUUUUGGCUCCAGGAGGAGGACGAAGAGAGAUUAAUUAUUUUGGAUCAAUGACAUAUGAUCAAAUUAAUGGAUUCGAUUCGAGAAUCCCAUAUAUAUAGCGGAAUCUCGUGAACGGGGAUUGUAAUGGUGAUCCGAUGGUCCAAAGCCGGGAUGAAUCGGUAAAAAGAUCCACCCUACUUGCGCAGGGUCGAUGGGCGAAUCGCUCGAAUAACGGCAUCCGCGUCUUGAUUUCCUUUCUCUUCCCUCGUUUGGUCAUCCCACUUGAUAUCGGCCUCAACCUCACCUGAGAAGAUCAUGGCCGAGGAUAUAUGGUAUGCGAAGCUAUCUACACCUCCAUUCGCUGUUCUCUUUCAACUUCCAUGUGGUCAUCGUGGUUCCUGGAUGAUUGAUACGUACCUCCUUCCUUGUGUGCUUCUAGGAUUGGAGGAUCGGGCAUGGAAUAAGGUGCAAAGUUAGGGUUUGUACUCGUGUCUCACUGAUGAUGCAAAUAUAUCGAUAAUUCUGGCUGGUUUAUUGCCCUUCCUAAAUCUUAUCCAAGGAACGUAGUAGAUCUUAAUAUUUCACUUUCUUUUUGUUGGCGAAAUCAGUUUUCCGGCUUCAAUGAUGGUAUUUCUUAUGCUCUUUCCUCCUUCCAAGUCUUCUUUUCAUUCAAAUAUUACAUGGCAAACAUGUUUGAUGUUUAUACAACAACACUCUGACUAAACUAAAAUAUCUCUUUUAAGAGAUUUUCCGAAUCUUAAUGCGUUGACAAGAAUAAUUCAGGAUGCACAUGUUGUGACCUCACUGAUAGCUGUGACCACCAUACCUGCAAGUGUUGAUACCCAGGGACACAUUAUUAUUAUUAUUAUUAUUAUUAUUAUUAUUAUUAUUAUUUCAAAUCAGGUCUACUGACUCUUGAAGUGUGCCCUGUCUACAGGUGAUUAUUCUGUAAAAGCUCGAUAACUAUUCUUGCAGUAUGAAGUGUAGAAUUGGAGUAGUCGGGAUCGAGUUGCCCUCACGCAUAGCCGGCGUGGGGC